UGCUUGCUUUAGGCAACUGUUACGGUAGUCCAGUGUGUUCCUUGAGCUGAACUUUGUCUUAUGUGUUUUCACGUUCGCUAUUCUGUUAGCUUUCCUUGUGUUGUUUGUUUGUUCCUGCCUGAUUUAUUGGACAAUAAAUCAUCUCCUACCUGCACGCCUUCUUCGGAGUUCCUGUUGCGUCAUCGUCGGAAGAACCACCCGCACGCUGCAAAAACUGAAUUCUAAGUAUUGGAUGUCAAAGUUGACCAGCUUCUCGGUUUAUGGCUACAACCUUCCAUGCAGUUUCUCCGUUCCGAUGGUUGGAGGCCAGGAUCGUGUCGAUCUCUGGCUGUAGGAUGUGGACAAUCACCACUUCUACCAGCAGUGGGGAUACUCGCAACCUAAAGCGUAGGAAAAGUCGACAGACAGCUCCUUUCUUCAAAAUACUCCUAAAUUUUAAAGUAAAACUACAUUUAUUCUCUAUGAAAUACAUUUUGUGUUAAAAUGUUCAAAUGUCUGUUUAUUUUUGAUAGUGCACAUUAUUGAAAUUAAGCAAACUGCCAUUCAACCUAGAAAGAGCCUGGUCAAAAAAAAAUCCUGUUUUACAAAAAAAAAAAAACCUUGACCUUGAUUUCUGGUAUUUAAUCUUUUCAAGUAUUUCAGUUUUUGCAGUGUAGCUCCAAGGAUGAUUUUUAUUUUUAUGGAUUGCUGUUUGGACUCAGUCUGGGCUGUUUCCCAUGUAAGCAGAAGGCUCAAGGCUCAAAUUAGUUAUGUAGCACGCAGAACACAAACUAUUCAAAAUAAACUGAAAUGUUGGAGAUCAAAGCAGGGACGUUUUCUAUCUUGCUGUGGCUAUUAAGCAUUUUUUUUCCAUUGCAGUUUUUGCCAUUUUCUACAAGUCAUUUUUUUUUUUACAUUCAAACCAUCAAUUUAAAGCUCAUUUGGACUCCCUCUCGUUCCUUUUCAUCGGGCUUUCCAUGUUCUCUUUCUCCAUCCAACCAAUCAACUCCUUUCCAGCAAUCAUGCGCCAGCACCUGUGCCAUCUCAUUAGUUUGAAAAGACAGACUGCUUUCCC